rnacentral:SRP_RNA from 1 species
GCCCGGCACAGUGGCGCAUGCCUGUAGCCCCAGCUACUCAGGAGGCUGAGGUGGGAGGAUCACCUGAGCCCAGGAGUCCUGGGCUGUAGUGCGCUAUGCCAAUCGGGUGUCCGCACUAAGUUCAACAUCAAUAUGGUGACCUCCCAGGAGUGGGGGACCACCAGAUUGCCUAAGGAGUGGUGAACUGGCCCAGGUCGGAAAUGGAGCAGAUCAAAAUUCCCGUGCUGAUCAGCGGUGGGAUCUCACCUGUGAAUAGCCACUGCACUCCAGCCUGGGAAACAAAGCAAGACCCCAUCUCU